UGGAGGAGGAGGAGGAGUGCGUCUGGCAUUUCAAAAAAAAAAAAAAAAAGACAAGUUUACUGUCAUGUCAGGGCGGUUUAAUGGGAAUAGAUUUGAAUGCUGGGGCCAGGGCGAUGACGUCUGGUUCGUAAUAACUGGCAUUUGCCGAGUUGCUCCGGCUUUCGGAUAUUUGGAUGGUGAUUAAAUACACCCGUUUCGGUACUUUUUUUAAAAAAGGUCACCAGGAGCCGUUAUCUGCAAAAUGAUCGCACCUGCAUGUUGGAACGCACUUGAGCCUGCUCCUAGACUUUUAAAAGUUUCAGUUCGUCAUUUUACGUUUUUUUUAAAAAAAAUCAUCAUCAUCCGUAUCGUCCCAAGCCGUGGUCGACAAAACUUUUACAAAGGGCUAUUCGGCCCCCCAGAUCUCCCUUUGGAGUUACUUUCUCGCAGUGUAACUUACAAGAUUAAAAUAAAAUUUGGUUGAUGAUGGUUCUGAACAGAUACAGCUCUUUUACUUGAGAAACCAUUUUGAAGACUGAGACCAUGGAGUUUUAUAUCUGAGGAUAAAGGAAAUCUUUGCAGAAGUCUGUAUUUUAUAUAGCAAAAAUGUGAAUCCUGAGACUGAAUCUCUAAAGGGCCUGUACAACGUAAUAGAUGUUGGUGGAAGCAUUUACACCCACAGCUUGAAGAGUCUCAAAUGGACCCUACCGCUGAGAAAUCAAGAUGGCAGUCCACUAUGGGGAAUAGAGGAAAAUGGAUUAAUACAAGAGUGCUGUGAUAAUACACAACCAAGACAGGGUUCUUUUAACAUGGAUUUCAUGAAAUGAAUGAAGACAAUAGGCUUCUUACCCAACACAGAUGGACAGUGGAUUUGACUUUCUAAAGACUUUUUGUAUCAUUAAACAAGCCCAUUUUUGACAUUUGGAGAUGAAAGAUGGCACGUUAACAGAGAUGAUAGUUUGUAUGUCUGGAAUUUUUUUCAAUUUGAUUUGUAUGACCUUGUGAAAUGUUAACUUUAAUAAAAUUUCUAACACUUUAAAAUUUCUCAGUUUGGGCUUUUUUUUUUUAAGCUGAAGAGUCAUUACAUUAAAUGUGCGCCGUAAAUAACAAUUUGGCCUUUACAGUUGUCCAGCAGUGAAGUGUACUGAAUAAAGCUGGUAAAAUGGCAGUGGUGUGCUGGAAAAUAUUUUACGUCGUUGAUUAAGAUUUAUUUCCACCAGUUGUGGAAAUUUAUUUGUGCUUUAAGAAAUAGGCGUUUGGUUAAAUGCCGUUUUAUGCUUUCUUGAAUAUCUUGCAAAAUAACCAGUCAAUAGGUAAUAAUAGAAUCUUUAACUUGCCACAUGAUUUUAAUGAACGUUUAAAACAAAAUGCAUUUUGUCUCAAAAUUCAGGAUGAGUGAUAACAGUAUUUUUCUGAGUUUUGUGUUGAUAAAAAGGUCUUUUUUAUCUGCACUUCUUAAUAUUGAAAAUAAAACAUCUUGAGAUAGAAUAUUCAUCUGAACAAAACAGAUACCUCUUAUUGUCUAGUUAAUGUUAGGGGAAUAAAUGUUGGAUUUAUUAGGGAAUGUCCUUUAAGAUAUUCAUAAAAGGCCUUAAAAUUUUGGUGGCAAUAUUGUCUAUAAUAUAUGUUAUGUAAAUAUAAAAUAGGAAUAUUCUGUAUUUUUCUUAUUCUCUACAUUUAGGAAUUCAGAAUAAAUGAAUCACACCAUGUCACAGAUGACAUAUUUGAUUUCCAGGUGAAUACUGGCAUUUUAUUGAUAAUCAACUGACACUAAGUUUAUAAAUGUGUGAUAGGCUUUAUUUGGGUAAACCAAAUCAAUUGUUGAUAUUUUCCCAUUAUACAUGGAAUGUUCGGCUUGAUGUGUUUUUGUGUGUGUGUGAGAGAAAACAGUUAAUCAUACUGUGAUUUGUGAUUAAUGUCAAAUACUAUAUAGCACACAUAUUCAUUUUCAGUACAUGUGCAGUAUGUGUUCUCAUUGACUGGUUCGAAGUGGUUGGUUUGUAUAUAUCAAAAGUGGAAUUUUGGAUUUGGAUUUUGGUACAAAAUCACCUUUUGUAGAAAGUGUGGAAUUGAAACUGGGUUUUGAUUAUGGCUUUUACAUUGACCUAGAUGCAACUUGUUGCUUUUGUUGGGUAUAAAGCGAAAGUGGAUAUCAACAUUGAGGAAAAGACAUGGUUCUGGAAGAUUAUAAUGUCGAGUAGGGAAAGUUUAUUUGAUUUCUUUUUUUGAUGUGUGAAUAUUUUCUUGGGUGCUUUUUGAGAGAAAAAGUGUUGAACAAUUUGUUUCUGGCAUUAGUAUUAAUUUUGUUUUCCAUAGAUGUUAUGGUUUUGAUAUUUAGGAGAAUUUGACCUGUGACAUUACUUUGAUAACUUGUUGUCAGAUGUGACCUAUUAACUAUUGUCAAGAAUCUGAACAUACUUAGAAAUUGAUUUGAAAUACAAGGGAAGAGUUGGGGAUAUAUGUGCUGUGUUGGUUUUGGAGGUCCAGUUUCUUGGAUUUGUUAUUUGAAAGGACAAUGGUGGUUCCAUAUUCUCGAGUUUAAUAACUUUGUUUUGCCUGAAUCAAUGUGGGAAGUAAAUAUAGUGUGAUCUUGAGAUUUGGGGAGGGGGUGUAAAGUUUGCAGGGUUAUAGAAUGGGUUAAAGAAUUUUGUGAAAGUACAAAGAAAAAUUGAAAUUCUCAAAUAAAAACGAGUUGCGUUAAUUUUUGCGCUAAUGCAACUGAACACUAGGGAGGCGCUCUUGAGUUGUACCCCUUUCUUCCAGUUGGGAUGGAAAAUGCCCCCUAAUUUGGUCUUUAGAUAAUUUUAGGCUUCCUAAAGAAGUCCAACUUGAAUUUAAUCUAUGAAAUUGAGAUUUUGCUUUUAUUUAGAAACCAUUUUACCCUGGGUGGGGUUAAUUUUAAAAAAAGACUAAUAUUAAAAUGAGCUUAACAUUUUCUCAGAAUUAUCCCUUUUUCAAAAUGGCUUUAUAAAACACCACUUCCUGCCCAGAAAGGAAGUUAUUUUAGCCCAAGGACUGAAAUAUUUAGCAGAUCUUUAGACAAAAGGAACAAAUUACAUUUCUGUCUGGCUUAAAAAGGGUGCUUGAGCCAGAGGGGGUUAAGAAACCCUCCCCCCUUCCCCUGAUGGGGUGGUCUGGAGGGGCAGGGAGGUGUGGGGGUGUGGGGUCCUCUGGCUCCCUGGGAUGGAAGAUCUUUUUUUUUCUUUCUUUCUUUCUUUCUUUCUUUUUUUUUUUGGUGGAGAUGAAGGGGUGGGUCUAUGGUACAUCACCUGAGUUGUGGGGUAAAUGUAGAGAGUGUCAAUCAAAGGCAGAGCUCUCAGAGCUGGGAAGGAGGCUCUAGAUGGCGGCUGUGCCUUAGAGAGAGCGCGCUCAGCUCCCUGCCUUCGCCUCACUUUACGCAACUUUCCCCAACUUUCGGGCCGCCCCAGGGGGCCCCCGCAGCCCCCUGCCUCUCCUAGAGACGGACUGGGGUCGAUUGGAACCCCUUUGAGGGGGAAAAGCAGCUUUUUGGGGCUUUCUUUUCGUGCCUUGUUGGAAAGAAGCAGCCGUACUGGGAGGCCAGGUCGUUGUUUUUUCCAGCUUAGAAGCCAUGGCGCACCUCCAUUUUUGUGCGCUCUGCUAAUGAGGUUUUUUCCCUCCCGUACCCGUCUCGGUAUUAAUUGUUGCUUUAUUUUUUUUGGACCCGUGAACAGAUCGGAGGAUUGUUUUAUUUAUUUUUCGGUUUUUUUUUUUCACGGAGGAUUUCGUUUUUCUAUUUUUAAUGGUUUGGGACCCGAUCUAUUUCUACCACUAGCUAGGACUCUCUGGCUUUGGACCUACUACAUGGAUCAGUAAAUACCUGGGCACAGGACUUCAAAGCAAACACAGAUUUCCCCUCCCCCUUAAUAUUUAAGAAUUAAAAGAUGAUGAGAAAUAAGGACAAAAGCCAAGAGGAGGACAGUUCGCCACACAGCAAUGCAUCGAGUGUCUCCUGGAAUGCUUUAUCCUCGGAAGCUUACACAUGUACUGUUCACAUCAUGAUUUGUUUCACAUUUGCUGGAGUGCCUUGUUAGUGACUAAGGAAUAAAGCUACUGAGUUGUUUUGUA